rnacentral:rRNA from 1 species
UGCAAUUUACCUUUUACAGAGGGAUAGCCCAGAGAAAUUUGGAUUAAUACCUCAUAGUAUUACGACUCGGCAUCGAGAUGUAAUUAAAGUCACAACGGUAAAAGAUGAGCAUGCGUCCCAUUAGCUAGUUGGUAAGGUAACGGCUUACCAAGGCUACGAUGGGUAGGGGUCCUGAGAGGGAGAUCC